rnacentral:lncRNA from 1 species
GUGGUGUAAUUUCCAAUGUGACAACUCUUCACAAAAGAUCAAAUGACACAGAAAUAAACAACUAUAGGUCACCAUAAAGCCUUCAACAAUGAGCAAACCCCAUACUACAUAGUCAGCUUUAAAAGGCCCAGAAAUGUCAAAUGUAAAACAAUUAAAACGAGAAAACUAACGGCCUUAUUAAUUUACAAGUAAAUGAACGAAAAACAAAUAUGUAACACAGCAACAAACAAGAACCACUGAAUUGCAGGCUCCUGACUUGGGACAGGCACAUACAUACAUGAUGUGACAGGGUUAAACAUGUUAGCGAGAUCCCAACCCUCCCUAACAUAGGACAGUGGUGUAAUAGUACAACAUUGAAACGAAC